UCUGGCUCCUUUGGGGCCCGAGUUGUAAUUUGUAGAGGGUGCUUUGGCGUUGGCUCCGACCUAAGUUCCUUGGAACAGGACGUCACAGAGGGUGAGAAUCCCGUACGUGGCCGGCCGCCUUCGCCGUGUAAAGCCCCUUCGACGAGUCGAGUUGUUUGGGAAUGCAGCUCUAAAUGGGAGGUAAAUUUCUUCUAAAGCUAAAUAUUGGCCAGAGACCGAUAGCGCACAAGUAGAGUGAUCGAAAGAUGAAAAGCACUUUGGAAAGAGAGUCAAAAAGCACGUGAAAUUGUUGAAAGGGAAGCGCUUGCAGCCAGACUUGCCUGUAGUUGCUCAUCCGGGCUCUUGCCCGGUGCACUCUUCUGCUGGCAGGCCAGCAUCAGUUUGGGCGGCCGGAUAAAGGCCCCAGGAAUGUAGCUCCCUCGGGAGUGUUAUAGCCUGGGGUGCCAUGCGGCCAGCCUGGACUGAGGUCCGCGCAUCUGCUAGGAUGCUGGCGUAAUGGCUGUAAGCGGCCCGUCUU
rnacentral:rRNA from 1 species